rnacentral:lncRNA from 1 species
GUAGGUAUAACGCCGAUGACAGUUUAUUUGGACAGAUUUUGAUACGAAAAUCUUCAAUCUGGAAAUUAUUUAUGCGUGUUACCUAUUUAAUUCGUAUGAAAGAUGUUUUUUAGUUCUCGAAUGAAGCUAAGUUAGUAAAUCAUAAAAUAUGUAUGCAUACGAAUUAAACGCGUUAAAUAAUGGCAUCAAAAUCGACCCUUUGACACCUACUGUAAGAUAUUUUAAACAUGCCUGGAUGGUUUUUAGAGUAUUUUUUUUGUUUUUAUCCUUACGAAAGGACACUGAAUUCGUUCAACCACCCUGAACUCUUGAGAAAUUAAAUAGUCGUUAGAAAGCGAGGUCGGGAUUUUCUUUUUUUCUUUUUUUUUCUUUCCUGUUGUGAAGUGAGACAUUCUAGUUACCUGGCGAGACAAAUGGGAUGCUUACGCUGGACAGUCUAUUGCAAACAGUCGUAGAAUCAGCUAACUUGAUUUUGGCCAGAAGUUAUUGCAAAAUCCUGUUGCUGUUGUCGAGAUAUCGAUUCCUUGUUUUGCUAACUUUCGAACAUUGGAACUCUUUGUCCGGUCGUUGCCUAACAGUUUUAAAUAUUUAUAGCGUAACGUGUAACAAAAAAAUAAUUAUUCAAUUUUUGCAUAAUCUGUUUACUUUUAUAAACGUGUAUUAAUAGUAUUUUAGCUGGAAACUGUUAAGAUAUAUAUAAAAAUAAAAACUUUCUUUUUUCCUUAAAGAAAGCAUUUGUUAAUAUAAUUUGACC